rnacentral:rRNA from 1 species
UGGGGAAUAUUGCACAAUGGGCGCAAGCCUGAUGCAGCCAUGCCGCGUGUAUGAAGAAGGCCUUCGGGUUGUAAAGUACUUUCAGCGGGGAGGAAGGGAGUAAAGUUAAUACCUUUGCUUAUUGACGUUACCCGCAGAACAAGCACCGGCUAACUCCGUGCCAGCAGCCGCGGUAAUACGGAGGGUGCAAGCGUUAAUCGGAAUUACUGGGCGUAAAGCGCACGCAGGCGGUUUGUUACGUCAGAUGUGAAAACCCCGGGCUCAACCUGGGAACUGCAUCUGAUACUUGCAAGCAUGAGUCUCGUAGAGGGGGGUAGAAUUCCAGGUGUAGCGGUGAAAUGCGUAGAGAUCUGGAGGAAUACCGGUGGCGAGGGCGGCCCCCUGGACGAAGAAUGACGCUCAGGUGCGAAAGCGUGGGGAGCAAACAGG